AUAAAUUAUUUUUUUAAAACUGAAAUUAAAUUUCUUUACUUCCAAGCUUGUUUGCUCGAACACUCCCUCUAGCUGUUGUGUUCUCUUGAGUCUCUCGUGAACCCUAACUCCAACUCUCUCCCANCAAUGAAACUUUUCUCUUUUGAAUAUNUGACUGGAGAAGCAUAGAGCAAGGAAGAAUAAGCGGCAAGAAGGGCGAAUAAGGAUGGCGAAAAAACCCUAAACCCCUCUCUCCUAAACCCUCUUCAUUUUCUAUUCACUGAUUUGAGAUAUCUACAUCUUCGUUCGAGAGCUCCUCCAUNAUCGAACCUCGUUUUUCUCCUUCCUUGUAUCAGGUAGAUGUUCCUCUCUACACAGCAGGUACUGAUGUUAAACCUUCAGAAAUUGCCAAACAAGGCUUAGAAGAGGCAAAAAAGAAGAAAAUUUAUGUUGUUAUUGUUGAUACCGCCGGUAGACUGCAGAUUGACAAGACAAUGAUGGAUGAGUUAAAAGAAGUUAAAAGGGCAUUGAAUCCAACANAAGUGUUGCUAGUUGUGGAUGCAAUGACAGGGCAGGAAGCUGCAGCAUUAGUGACUACUUUCAAUGUUGAGAUUGGAAUAACAGGUGCCAUCUUGACAAAGCUUGAUGGUGAUUCAAGAGGUGGAGCAGCUUUGAGUGUCAAAGAGGUAUCUGGAAAGCCAAUUAAACUUGUAGGACGAGGGGGAACGAAUGGAGGAUCUUGAACCUUUCUACCCUGAUCGGAUGGCAGGACGCAUACUUGGAAUGGGAGAUGUUCUUUCUUUUGUAGAGAAGGCACAAGAAGUUAUGCGUAAAGAAGAUGCCGAGGAACUGCAAAAGAAGAUCAUGAGUGCAAAGUUUGACUUCAAUGAUUUUCUAAAGCAAACUCGUACUGUUNCCAAAAUGGGUUCCNUGUCUCGUNUNAUUNGAAUGAUUCCUGGUAUGGGGAAGGUUACUCCUUCUCAGAUUAGAGACGCAGAGAAGAAUUUGCAGAAUAUGGAAGCAAUGAUAGAAGCAAUGACCCCUGGAAUUAAAGAUGAGACCUAGAUUAUGAUGAGAAGGAUUAUGACAAGAAGAAUAAUAUUUUGGUGUAGCUGACGCACGGUGUAGCUGAUACGCAUAUAUGAGUGUAUAUAUUUGUUGUUAGAAGGUAUUUUUUAAGUCGUGAAAGUGCAGAAUUUUUUUUCAUAGGAGAGAAUCUUGUUUUCUAGAUAAAUAGUUGUUGGAAUUAAUUUCUACAAUUUUAUUUAUGUAGCCCAUAAUGGCUUGACAUACUGUAAAGUUCAAAUUUAAUGUUAGAAUACAACAAGUUAUGGUA